GAUGAACGCUGGCGGCGUGCUUAACACAUGCAAGUCGAACGAUGAAGCCCAGCUUGCUGGGUGGAUUAGUGGCGAACGGGUGAGUAACACGUGAGUAACCUGCCCUUGACUCUGGGAUAAGCCUGGGAAACUGGGUCUAAUACCGGAUAGGAACGUCCACCGCAUGGUGGGUGUUGGAAAGAUUUAUCGGUCAUGGAUGGACUCGCGGCCUAUCAGCUUGUUGGUGAGGUAAUGGCUCACCAAGGCGACGACGGGUAGCCGGCCUGAGAGGGUGACCGGCCACACGGGGACUGAGACACGGCCCAGACUCCUACGGGAGGCAGCAGUGGGGAAUAUGGCACAAUGGGCGAAAGCUGAUGCAGCGACGCCGCGUGAGGGAUGACGGCCUUCGGGUUGUAAACCUCUUUCAGUAGGGAAGAAGCGAAAGUGACGGUACCUGCAGAAGAAGCACCGGCUAACUACGUG
rnacentral:rRNA from 1 species